ACUUACUUUAGACUUUAUUCGUGACUAUGUUGGAAGAACGAUUAUUUUGUGGAUUGCCUUGUGCUUUGUGAAGUAAAAGACCCAUUUCCCUCUCUAUUAUGUUGAACAAUGGCAUCUCAAUUCAAGUUACUGGAAUUUGGAAGUAUCAUCUGUUACUGUGCUAAAGCCAAGAAUUUUCUACUUCCAAAAUUGUUUAGAAAAGAAGACAAUACAAUGAUUUCCCGAGGCCAGUUCUGCUGCACAUGAGCAAAGAAGAUUUAAGCUUGCCUGAAGAGGGCUUUUGUCUGGAAGUGAUUUACAUAUAUUCCAUGGAAGCUGUAUUUUCACAAACUGCGGCAACAUUGGUUUGGAGUUAUUACAAAAUCUAUCCAGUGCUAUGUAUUUAUAUGGUUAUAACAAGAGACAAAAAGAAAAAUACUUGGCU